AUUGAACGCUGGCGGCAGGCCUAACACAUGCAAGUCGAGCGGAUGAAGGGAGCUUGCUCCUGGAUUCAGCGGCGGACGGGUGAGUAAUGCCUAGGAAUCUGCCUGGUAGUGGGGGAUAACGUCCGGAAACGGGCGCUAAUACCGCAUACGUCCUGAGGGAGAAAGUGGGGGAUCUUCGGACCUCACGCUAUCAGAUGAGCCUAGGUCGGAUUAGCUAGUUGGUGGGGUAAAGGCCUACCAAGGCGACGAUCCGUAACUGGUCUGAGAGGAUGAUCAGUCACACUGGAACUGGGACACGGUCCAGACUCCUACGGGAGGCAGCAGUGGGGAAUAUUGGACAAUGGGCGAAAGCCUGAUCCAGCCAUGCCGCGUGUGUGAAGAAGGUCUUCGGAUUGUAAAGCACUUUAAGUUGUGAGGAAGGGCAGUAAGUUAAUACCUUGCUGUUUUGACGUUACCAACAGAAUAAGCACCGGCUAACUUCGUG
rnacentral:rRNA from 1 species